AGAGUUUGAUCCUGGCUCAGGAUGAACGCUGGCGGCGUGCUUAAUACAUGCAAGUCGAACGGAGAAUGUAGCAAUACGUUCUUAGUGGCGAACGGGUGAGUAACGCGUUGGUGACCUGCCCCGAAGAGAGGGAUAACAGUUCGAAAGGAUUGCUAAUACCCCAUGUGGCCUUCAAGGUUAGAGUCUUGAAGAUUAAACGGAGAAUUUCGCUUCGGGAGGGGCCUGCGUACCAUCAGCUAGUUGGUGAGGUAAUGGCUCACCAAGGCUAUGACGGUUAGGGGACCUGAGAGGGUGGCCCCCCACAAUGGAACUGAAACACGGUCCAUACACCUACGGGUGGCAGCAGUAGGGAAUAUUGGUAAUGGGCGAAAGCCUGAACCAGCAACGCCGCGUGUGCGAUGAAGGCCUUCGGGUCGUAAAGCACUUUUUAGAGGGACGAGGAAGGACGGUACCUCUAGAAUAAGCCUCGGCUAACUACGUGCCAGCAGCCGCGGUAAAACGUAGGAGGCAAGCGUUAUUCGGAUUUACUGGGCGUAAUGCGCGUGCAGGCGGUUUGGAAAGUUGGAUGUGAAAGCUCCUGGCUUAACUGGGAGAGGUCGUUCAAUACUUCCAGACUAGAGGAUGUGAGAGGAGAGUGGAAUUCCGAGUGUAGUGGUGAAAUGCGUAGAUAUUCGGAGGAACACCAGUGGCGAAAGCGGCUCUCUGGCACAUUUCUGACGCUCAGACGCGAAAGCUAGGGUAGCAAACGGGAUUAGAGACCCCGGUAGUCCUAGCUGUAAACGAUGUAGACUUGGCGUCGGUGGGGUAAAAUCCGCCGGUGCCGUAGCUAACGCGAUAAGUCUACCGCCUGGGGACUACGGCCGCAAGGUUAAAACUCAAAGGAAUUGACGGGACCCCGCACAAGCAGCGGAGCGUGUGGUUUAAUUCGAUUCUACACGAAGAACCUUACCAGGGUUUGACAUACAAGUGGUAGUGAAAGGAAACUGGAACGACCCUUCGGGGAGCUUGUACAGGUGCUGCAUGGCUGUCGUCAGCUCGUUCGUGAGAUGUUCGGUUAAGUCCGCUAACGAGCGCAACCCUCACCGUGUGUUACAUGUGUCACGCGGGACCGCCGGUCUUAAGCCGGAGGAAGGUGGGGAUGACGUCAAGUCAGCAUGGCCUUUAUAUCCUGGGCUACACACACGCUACAAUGGGCAGUACAACAGGUCGCGAAACCGCGAGGUGGAGCCAAUCCUCAAAGCUGUCCUCAGUUCAGAUCGCAGGCUGCAACUCGCCUACGUGAAGAUGGAGUUGCUAGUAACCGCAGGUCAGCUAUACUGCGGUGAAUACGUUCCCGGGGUUUGUACACACCGCCCGUCGCGUCAUGGGAGCUGGCAACACCUGAAGCCGGUAUUCUAACCCGCAAGGGAAGGAGCCGUCGAGGGUGGGGUUGGUGACUGGGACGAAGUCGAAACAAGGUA
rnacentral:rRNA from 1 species